GAUGAACGCUGGCGGCGUGCCUAAUACAUGCAAGUCGAGCGAACGGACGAGAAGCUUGCUUCUCUGAUGUUAGCGGCGGACGGGUGAGUAACACGUGGAUAACCUACCUAUAAGACUGGGAUAACUUCGGGAAACCGGAGCUAAUACCGGAUGAUAUUUUGAACCGCAUGGUUCAAAAGUGAAAGACGGUCUUGCUGUCACUUAUAGAUGGAUCCGCGCUGCAUUAGCUAGUUGGUAAGGUAACGGCUUACCAAGGCAACGAUGCAUAGCCGACCUGAGAGGGUGAUCGGCCACACUGGAACUGAGACACGGUCCAGACUCCUACGGGAGGUAGCAGUAGGGAAUCUUCCGCAAAGGGCGAAAGCCUGACGGAGCAACGCCGCGUGAGUGAUGAAGGUCUUCUGAUCGUAAAACUCUGUUAUUAGGGAAGAACAUAUGUGUAAGUAACUGUGCACAUCUUGACGGUACCUAAUCAGAAAGCCACGGCUAACUACGUG
rnacentral:rRNA from 1 species